rnacentral:rRNA from 1 species
UUAAGCGACUAAGCGUACACGGUGGAUGCCCUGGCAGUCAGAGGCGAUGAAGGACGUGCUAAUCUGCGAAAAGCGUCGGUAAGGUGAUAUGAACCGUUAUAGCCGGCGAUGUCCGAAUGGGGAAACCCAGUGCAAUUCGUUGCACUAUCGUUAACUGAAUACAUAGGUUAACGAGGCGAACCGGGGGAACUGAAACAUCUAAGUACCCCGAGGAAAAGAAAUCAACCGAGAUUCCCCCAGUAGCGGCGAGCGAACGGGGAGCAGCCCAGAGUCUGAAUCAGCUUGUGUGUUAGUGGAACGGUCUGGAAAGUCCGACGGUACAGGGUGAUAGUCCCGUACACCAAAAUGCACAGGUUGUGAACUCGAAGAGUAGGGCGGGACACGUGGUAUCCUGUCUGAAUAUGGGGGGACCAUCCUCCAAGGCUAAAUACUCCUGACUGACCGAUAGUGAACCAGUACCGUGAGGGAAAGGCGAAAAGAACCCCGGCGAGGGGAGUGAAAAAGAACCUGAAACCGUGUACGUACAAGCAGUGGGAGCACCUUCGGGUGUGACUGCGUACCUUUUGUAUAAUGGGUCAGCGACUUAUAUUCUGUAGCAAGGUUAACCGUAUAGGGGAGCCGCAGGGAAACCGAGUCUUAACUGGGCGUUAAGUUGCAGGGUAUAGACCCGAAACCCGGUGAUCUAGCCAUGGGCAGGUUGAAGGUUGGGUAACACUAACUGGAGGACCGAACCGACUAAUGUUGAAAAAUUAGCGGAUGACUUGUGGCUGGGGGUGAAAGGCCAAUCAAACCGGGAGAUAGCUGGUUCUCCCCGAAAGCUAUUUAGGUAGCGCCUCGUGAAUUCAUCUUCGGGGGUAGAGCACUGUUUCGGCUAGGGGGUCAUCCCGACUUACCAACCCGAUGCAAACUACGAAUACCGAAGAAUGUUAUCACGGGAGACACACGGCGGGUGCUAACGUCCGUCGUGAAGAGGGAAACAACCCAGACCGCCAGCUAAGGUCCCAAAGUCAUGGUUAAGUGGGAAACGAUGUGGGAAGGCACAGACAGCCAGGAUGUUGGCUUAGAAGCAGCCAUCAUUUAAAGAAAGCGUAAUAGCUCACUGGUCGAGUCGGCCUGCGCGGAAGAUGUAACGGGGCUAAACCAUGCACCGAAGCUGCGGCAGCGACACUAUGUGUUGUUGGGUAGGGGAGCGUUCUGUAAGCCUGCGAAGGUGUGCUGUGAGGCAUGCUGGAGGUAUCAGAAGUGCGAAUGCUGACAUAAGUAACGAUAAAGCGGGUGAAAAGCCCGCUCGCCGGAAGACCAAGGGUUCCUGUCCAACGUUAAUCGGGGCAGGGUGAGUCGACCCCUAAGGCGAGGCCGAAAGGCGUAGUCGAUGGGAAACAGGUUAAUAUUCCUGUACUUGGUGUUACUGCGAAGGGGGGACGGAGAAGGCUAUGUUAGCCGGGCGACGGUUGUCCCGGUUUAAGCAUGUAGGCUGGUUGUCCAGGCAAAUCCGGAUAAUCAAGGCUGAGGUGUGAUGACGAGGCACUACGGUGCUGAAGUAACAAAUGCCCUGCUUCCAGGAAAAGCCUCUAAGCAUCAGGUAACAUUAAAUCGUACCCCAAACCGACACAGGUGGUCAGGUAGAGAAUACCAAGGCGCUUGAGAGAACUCGGGUGAAGGAACUAGGCAAAAUGGUGCCGUAACUUCGGGAGAAGGCACGCUGGUGUGUAGGUGAAGUCCCUGCGGAUGGAGCUGAGACCAGUCGAAGAUACCAGCUGGCUGCAACUGUUUAUUAAAAACACAGCACUGUGCAAACACGAAAGUGGACGUAUACGGUGUGACGCCUGCCCGGUGCCGGAAGGUUAAUUGAUGGGGUUAUCCGUAAGGAGAAGCUCUUGAUCGAAGCCCCGGUAAACGGCGGCCGUAACUAUAACGGUCCUAAGGUAGCGAAAUUCCUUGUCGGGUAAGUUCCGACCUGCACGAAUGGCGUAAUGAUGGCCAGGCUGUCUCCACCCGAGACUCAGUGAAAUUGAACUCGCUGUGAAGAUGCAGUGUACCCGCGGCAAGACGGAAAGACCCCGUGAACCUUUACUAUAGCUUGACACUGAACAUUGAGCCUUGAUGUGUAGGAUAGGUGGGAGGCUUUGAAGCGUGGACGCCAGUCUGCGUGGAGCCAACCUUGAAAUACCACCCUUUAAUGUUUGAUGUUCUAACGUUGGCCCCUUACCGGGGUUGCGGACAGUGUCUGGUGGGUAGUUUGACUGGGGCGGUCUCCUCCCAAAGCGUAACGGAGGAGCACGAAGGUUAGCUAAUCCUGGUCGGACAUCAGGAGGUUAGUGCAAUGGCAUAAGCUAGCUUGACUGCGAGCGUGACGGCGCGAGCAGGUGCGAAAGCAGGUCAUAGUGAUCCGGUGGUUCUGAAUGGAAGGGCCAUCGCUCAACGGAUAAAAGGUACUCCGGGGAUAACAGGCUGAUACCGCCCAAGAGUUCAUAUCGACGGCGGUGUUUGGCACCUCGAUGUCGGCUCAUCACAUCCUGGGGCUGAAGUAGGUCCCAAGGGUAUGGCUGUUCGCCAUUUAAAGUGGUACGCGAGCUGGGUUUAGAACGUCGUGAGACAGUUCGGUCCCUAUCUGCCGUGGGCGCUGGAGAAUUGAGGGGGGCUGCUCCUAGUACGAGAGGACCGGAGUGGACGCAUCACUGGUGUUCGGGUUGUCAUGCCAAUGGCACUGCCCGGUAGCUAAAUGCGGAAGAGAUAAGUGCUGAAAGCAUCUAAGCACGAAACUUGCCCCGAGAUGAGUUCUCCCUGAGACUUUAAGUCUCCUGAAGGAACGUUAAAGACGAUGACGUUGAUAGGCCGGGUGUGUAAGCGCAGCGAUGCGUUGAGCUAACCGGUACUAAUGAACCGUGAGGCUUAACCUU